rnacentral:sRNA from 1 species
UCAUGAAGACACAUUCUGGACUCUCUG